CAUAGAGGUUUGUGGAGUUCUUUACCACAAUUCAAAUAUAUAAGAUCUAUUUGAUCUUAGUAUAAGUUGAACACAAUAAAAUUUGAAUAUGGUAAAAGUUUAUUAUGAGGUGGAAAAAAUCAACAAGCAAAGACUAUGGUUUUAUAAGUGCAAGUGCAAGUGCAAGUGCAACCGCUGGUUCUAUUUUAGUUGUGAUUUAUUUUAGUAUGUUAAGCAUCUUUUACCUUCAAAGCACUGAUGAAUGAUUGUGUUUCAUAGAUUGAUGGAAACCUCAUAGCAAACUUCAUAGAUUGAUGUUAAGCAUCUUCCCCUUUCUCUUUCAUCUGAUGCGCGUUCCUCUUUUUUCUUCUCCCAGCCAAAGCAAAACCACCGAACAACAUCCACCACCACACCACUGCUGGCGAGCCGCGACCACUCUUCUCCUUCUCCAUCCAUCACCGCCGCACCCCCCUCAAUCUUCUGUAUUGAUUCUUUAGUUUAGAGAGCUAUCUCCAUCCAUCUCUCUCCACAAACCCUAAUUGUUGUAACUUGUAAGAGGAGGACGUAAUCAAUAAUCCUAAAUAGUAGAGGUGGAAAAGAUGGAAAAUGUAAGCUUAUUUGAUUCAAAAAAAUGUAAGCAUAUCUUCAACUUCUAGCAUGCCUAGAUGAGCUAAUCUUCCUCUAUUUUUGAUAGUGUUUGGUUUUUCUGUAUAUGACUAGCAUGUUCUAGCAACUUGUCAUGAAAAGUAGAAACAUUCAUGGCAUUUUCCAUCAGAAAGAUCUAUCAAACCUGACUCAACUUUUGUAUUCAGCUAUCAUCGUCUUCUGUUUAUGAAAAUCAAGUGAAAUUGGUUCAUUUUGAAAUCAUUUAUGUUAUUUCAAUGAAAUUGAAACCGGCUAUUGUUAUGAAAUUUGAAUGUUAUUAGAAUUGAUGUAACAUUGAAACCAUGUAUUGUUAGUUGAUUUUGAAACUGUUUCAACAGGAAAAGUUAAGAUGAAAAGUCGGGCUCCGCCACUGCGAAUGCGACUUCCUUCAUGGAUGGCCGCCAUUCAUGCGGAGACGGCGGAACCCUCCAUUUCUGAUCCUUCCGUCGAUGCUCACUCUGAUUCUUCUCUAUCAAUUUCGUCCUUCCCCAUCUCUCUACGAAGGCACAAACCUUAACUAACAAUUGUUCGGUUCUGUGACAGCACCGCUUUAAGAGGAAGAAGAGGAAGGCCGAUGAUGGCGGCCACCCCAAAAGUUUUGGUCUGGCUCCGCCACUGUUCUUCCUCAAACCAUUACUGUGCAUUACUCAAACUCUGCUGCGAAACUCGCAACUUCACCAAAGCAAAAAACCUCCAUUCUCACAUCAUCAAAACCCUUCCAUACCCUGAAACCUUCCUCUUAAACAAUCUCAUCAGUUCCUAUGCCAAACUCGGCUCAAUCCCUUACGCCCGCAAGGUGUUCGAUCAAAUGCCCCACCCAAAUCUCUACUCAUGGAACACCAUUCUUUCCGCUUAUUCGAAACUGGGUCGUGUUUCUGAGAUGGAAUACUUGUUUGAUGCAAUGCCGAGACGAGAUGGGGUGUCAUGGAAUUCACUUAUUUCGGGCUAUGCUGGUUGUGGCUUGAUUUAUCAGUCUGUAAAGGCUUAUAAUUUGAUGUUGAAGAAUGAUGGGUCGAUUAAUUUGAAUCGGAUUACGUUCUCGACUUUGCUUAUACUUGCUUCGAAACGAGGGUGUGUGAAAUUGGGUAGGCAGAUUCAUGGACAUGUGGUGAAGUUUGGUUUUAUGUCGUAUGUUUUUGUUGGGAGUCCGUUAGUGGAUAUGUAUUCGAAGAUGGGGAUGAUAUCUUGUGCAAGGAAGGUUUUUGAUGAGUUGCCUGAGAAGAAUGUUGUUAUGUAUAAUACGUUGAUAAUGGGAUUGAUGCGGUGCGGUAGGGUUGAAGAUUCAAAAAGAUUGUUUUUUGAAAUGCGAGAAAGGGAUUCGAUAUCUUGGACAUCGAUGAUUACGGGGUUUACUCAGAAUGGGUUGGAUAGAGAUGCAAUUGAUAUUUUCAGGGAGAUGAAACUGGAAAAUCUACAGAUGGAUCAGUAUACAUUUGGAAGUGUUUUAACUGCUUGUGGCAGUGUUAUGGCUUUGCAAGAAGGAAAGCAAGUUCAUGCCUAUAUUAUUAGGACGGAUUAUAAAGAUAACAUAUUUGUCGCCAGCGCUCUUGUUGCAAUGUAUUGCAAGUGUAAGAAUAUAAAAUCAGCAGAAGCAGUUUUCAAAAAGAUGACUUGCAAGAAUGUUGUGUCUUGGACUGCAAUGUUAGUGGGUUACGGACAAAAUGGUUAUAGUGAAGAAGCUGUUAAAACAUUUAGUGAUAUGCAAAAAUAUGGAAUUGAGCCAGAUGACUUCACCCUCGGAAGUGUAAUUAGCUCAUGUGCAAACCUUGCAAGUCUAGAAGAGGGUGCUCAAUUCCAUGCUAGAGCUCUCACUUCUGGUCUAAUUUCUUUUAUCACUGUUUCCAAUGCUUUGGUUACAUUAUAUGGUAAAUGUGGAAGCAUUGAAGACUCCCAUAGACUUUUUAAUGAAAUUAGCUUCAAGGAUGAAGUCACAUGGACUGCACUUGUUUCUGGAUAUGCUCAGUUUGGUAAAGCCAAUGAAACAAUUGGGUUAUUUGAAAGCAUGCUAGCCCAUGGUUUAAAACCGGACAAGGUUACAUUUAUUGGGGUUCUUUCAGCUUGUAGUAGAGCAGGAUUAGUGGAAAAAGGAAAUCAGAUAUUUGAAUCUAUGAUUAAUGAACAUGGGAUUGUACCAAUUCAAGAUCAUUACACUUGCAUGAUUGAUCUCUUCAGCCGAGCUGGGAGGAUAGAAGAAGCAAGGAAUUUUAUAAACAAGAUGCCUUUCAGUCCUGAUGCAAUUAGUUGGGCAACCUUAUUAAGCUCGUGUAGAUUCUAUGGAAACAUGGACAUUGGCAAGUGGGCAGCUGAGUUUCUUAUGGAAUUAGACCCACAUAACACUGCUAGCUAUGUCUUACUUUCGAGCGUAUAUGCUGCUAAAGGAAAAUGGGAGGAAGUUGCUAGGUUAAGAAAAGAUAUGAGAGAUAAGGGUCUGAGAAAGGAACCGGGAUGUAGCUGGAUCAAAUACAAGAACCAAGUGCACGUUUUCUCUGCCGAUGAUAAGUCAAAUCCAUUUUCAGAUCAGAUAUAUUCUGAGCUUGAAAAGUUGAACUACAAAAUGAUAAAAGAGGGUUAUGUGCCUGAUAUGAAUUCUGUUCUGCAUGAUGUUGGUGAUUCAGAGAAAAUAAAGAUGCUUAACCACCACAGUGAAAAGCUUGCAAUUGCCUUUGGGUUGUUAUUUAUUCCUCCUGGUCUGCCCAUACGAGUAGUUAAAAAUCUGAGGGUUUGUAGCGAUUGCCACAAUGCAACUAAAUAUAUCUCUAAGAUCACCCAUAGAGAGAUUCUUGUAAGAGACACAGCCCGGUUCCACUUGUUUAAAGAUGGAACGUGUUCAUAUGGAGACUUUUGGUGAUUGUGUAUUGAAGUCAUUGCAGAUGGGAUAUCGUCUAUAUGUUCUUUUGUAUCAAUUAAACUUCUUCACUAUCCCCUGUUGAUUAUUUAUUUCUCUUGGAUUUGGAUCUAACUCAACGUCUCAAAGCCAGCUUUCAAGAUUAGAGAUUCCAAUUCUUUAUUAACACUUUCAGGCCUUAUCUCUAGUCAAAUGUGACAGUUGGAGUUUUUUUCAAUAUGCCCCGCUUGAGUUUGGUGGGUGAAUACUAUAGUGGGUGGCCGAUAGAAUAGAACAGACUUCAACACCAUCUUAGAUUUGGAUUCUACCCAACAAAUCCGACUUUAAGGUGAGUGGUGUCCAUUCCUUAUAGACUCCUUCAGAUCUUAUCUCUAGUCAAUGGGAGACUUUGAUUUUUCUCAAUAAUUUCAACUAUCAAAAGCAUAUUUGGAGAUACUGAUUUUUUCUCUCUAAAUAAGGCAGUCUUUCAUAUUCAGGUUACUGUUUCCCUAAUGAAUCUAUAUCUUAGUAAAUUCUGAUGAGCAUGCAACAAAGUGCAGUGAGUAUAGAGUAAAACAGUCAGAAAGGAGAGGGGAAAUUAUAGCUGAAUAGACAGGUGGCACGUUGUGAUUGGAGGGUAAGGUGGGGUUGUUAUAAAGGGUAACAUGGGGGUAUGUUGAGUGUGUAGUUGGUAGUUUGUCGAUGAGUAAUGGGAGUUGAUUCUCAUCUCAGCAGAGGGCUCCCUCUUCUCAUUGAGAGUGUCAUGUAUCUUCUAUCAUUCUUCAAUGAGAUUCAUCUCCACCCAUUGUUCAUUUACUGUAUCGGUAUCUUUUGUAUAGCGGGUCGAUCCUCCGAGUUUACUAGUAAUACCAUUUCAUCAGUUUUAGUUUAUCAUUUUAUUUGGUUCUAUAUAUUUAUGUAAUAUACUUUUUUAACAGAAAACAGAUAGUAAAAACUAAAAUAAUACAGUAUUGGAUCAAUUUACAUUGGAAUUAGUGUUGAUCCAUUUAGAUUGCAUGAGCAACUGCUGAUUUCUAUAUUACUAUGUUGUGCAAUAAUUGUAAUGGAGAUGGAGUUAUAUUCAAGGAACAGAAUUAUAGUGAAUACUCAUGCAGUAUAUCCAGUCACUGUUUCCUUUUAAGGCUCCUCACGUACACUUAGCUCUUGCUGUUGUUUCUGCAUGAGAUACAGAAGAUUUGGUUAAAAACUGUAAAAUAAAGGGGAACAGUAUUCAUACAGGGCAGGAAAUGGAAAACACAUGAACAAUAACCUGCAGCUGGGUACAAAUUUCGAUUACUUCGGCUAUAGGGGCCCAAUCACCAAAGUUCAUCUCAAUAAAUUGCUAUUACAACUAACAAGGACACGGGUGCAACACAAUGACCGGAAAAGGGCCUCCGUCAAGGAGAUCCCCUAUCUCCCUACCUUUUUAUCUUGUGUGCAAAUGUGUUGUCUGGCUUGUUGAAACGUGAAGGAAAUAAGCAAAAUCUUCAUGGCAUUCAAGUGGCUAGGAGCGACCCAAAAAUUACCCACCUUCUUUUUGCAGAUGAUAGCCUGUUGUUUGCAAGAGCCAACCUUACUGAGGCGGCCACAAUUAUGCAAGUGUUACAUUCUUAUCAGUCAGCUUCGGGCCAAUUGGUGAACUUUGAGAAAUCGGAAGUGUCAUAUAGUCAAAAUGUCCCAAAUCAAGAGAAAGAAAUGAUCUGUCAGCAGAUAGCUAUAAAGACUGGAUCCCCUCAAAGCGUGAAUUCAAACUGAACCAUGUGAGUGGGAGUCUUAGUGUGGAUGAAUUGAUUGAUUAUGACACAAAGCAGUGGAAUAGAGACCUUAUUUUCCAUAGUUUCAACAAUUACGCGGCGCAUCAAAUCAUCAAAAUUCCCUUAUCCAUGAGACAGCCAGAGGAUAAAAUCAUUUGGCAUUGGGAGAAGGAUGGGAUUUACUCUGUUAGAUCUGCUCAUCAUGCCCUAUGCGAUGAAAAUUUCUCUAACCAAGCUGAGUCCUCUUCUGCAAACAACCCUGUGAUAUGGAAGCAAAUCUGGAAUACUCCGGCUUCGAGGAGUGUGCAGAAUUUCUUAUGGCGUCUUCCGAAGGAUAUCCUGCCUACCAGGAGCAAUUUGGGUAAGAAAGGCAUAAGUCUGGAUAUGAACUGCCCUAUCUGUCAUGUUGAAAUUGAGAACAGGGAUCAUUUAUUCAUGCGUUGCCCCGCUGCUAUGGCAGUUUGGUUUGCGUCUCCUCUUGGGAUACAUGUUCCGGUGCAGUUAGAUUUAUUGAGCUGGAUGGAGAAGUGUUUGGCUGUCCCUGAGCAGCGUGUGAAACAACUGUUUGGCACCUCCCUGUGGCUAAUUUGGAAGCAUAGGAAUCAAAAAGUUUUCAAUAAUGUUGAUUUUGAUCCGCCACUGGUGUCUGCGCUUGUGGAGGAAUUUUCGAUUGCAAAUCUGCCUCUUAAAAGGGGUCAGGUGUGUGUUGUCCCUAGAUGACAGCCUCCCCCAUUUGGUUCAAUUAAGGUUAAUGUUGGUGCAGGGUGUUUCGGAGACGGGAGUACAGGGUGGGGCUUCAUUGCUCGCAAUGCUGCAGGAUUGGCUCUGUCUGCUGAAACCAAAUCUGAUGGUAUUUCCUAUUCACCGCUGCUGGCUGAGUGUUUGUUAUUGAAACUGAUGCCGAAACGGUGGUGAAAAGACUGUAUGGUGAUUUUGUGUUGGCUGAAAUUGAACCUCUAAUUUUAGAUUGUUUAGAAUACAUGUCUAAGUUAGUUAAUGUUUCUGUUUGUAGCAUUAGCAAAGAUUGCAACAAAGUGGCCCAUAGCCUUGUUCAAUUAUCAAAAGCUGUAGGUUGUAAGAGUUGGAAUGGAUGUAUUCCAGAUAGGUGUUUAUCAGUCUAUUGUAACGAUUUGCCCUCUGUUUAAUGCAAAAGCUUGGUUUAUGUCAAAAAAAAAAAAAAAAA